rnacentral:rRNA from 1 species
AUUGAACGCUGGCGGCAUGCUUUACACAUGCAAGUCGAACGGUAACAGGUCUUCGGAUGCUGACGAGUGGCGAACGGGUGAGUAAUGCAUCGGAACGUGCCCAGUCGUGGGGAAUAACGCAGCGAAAGCUGUGCUAAUACCGCAUACGAUCUAUGGAUGAAAGCGGGGGAUCGCAAGACCUCGCGCGAUUGGAGCGGCCGAUGUCAGAUUAGCUAGUUGGUGGGGUAAAGGCCCACCAAGGCGACGAUCUGUAGCUGGUCUGAGAGGACGACCAGCCACACUGGGACUGAGACACGGCCCAGACUCCUACGGGAGGCAGCAGUGGGGAAUUUUGGACAAUGGGCGCAAGCCUGAUCCAGCAAUGCCGCGUGCAGGAAGAAGGCCU